CAAAACCUAGGUCAACUUCUUCUUCUUCUCACAGUCAUUCACUCUUCUAACUUCCGCAUUUGAAACAAAUCGAAGCACAACCAUGGCCUCAAAACUCGAUUUCAAUCAAAACAACACAAAGCAUCCUUAAAGCCAAAUUCAAUCGAAACAAAAACACACACUCAACUUACAUUCAUUGCUAACGUGACAUCAAACAUAAUUCACAUCAUAAGCUAACAGAGGAUGGCAUGGUGAGCAGAAGCAAAAACAUUCUACACACAACAAAAAUAAACCUUAACCUCAACAAUCCUUAAAACCUCAAAUCUAAAUACAUUCAAGCAUCAAUCAUUAAAGGGAAUAAGGAUUUAAGCGAGCAAUCAACAAUACAAAUGUAAAUAAAAAUAACUCAAAAAGCUAUGAAUACUGAAUCGAAGCUUCUCAGCUUCGGUCAAAUAAGGUUUUAAGAAAUGAAUUUUACCAAAGUGGGCAUGGCUAGAGGUUGCUUGAAGAUAGAGAGGGCGCGUGACUUGAAUUCCUUUUGGACAAAAACAAAUGGAGGCUUUAAAAUCGUUAGAGUUUGGUUUACGUCAAUCUAAUUAACUAAAUUCCCCAUUUGGAGUUGGCAUGAGAUAAAGUGAAGCGAAAUUGGCCCAAAAGUGGAGAAAAGAGCACAUAAGCAUGAAGCACUUGAAGAGAUGGUGUUUUCAGCGUGUGGCAUUCACCAUAGGGGAAUGGCGAUCGCCAUGGCCCUCUUACUUGCCAUGUAACCCAAAUUAAACUCAUGGAGAACACCAUGAGGUCGUGGUGAACUCCAUGGACUUCGUGCCCAGAAUUUUAGUUGUUGCAUAACUGAGUUCUCUCCCACUCACCCACAUUUUCCUCAACUGAUUUUUGCAUGAAUUCUAUAUCACCUUAGAGUCACAACCCUAGAUAUAGGUUUAAUUUUUAGGUUUUAGGAAUCCAAGCUUUUUUUUUAGAGUUAAGUAGGCAGAAAAUUUACACUGUACAAUAAUACUCAAUUGUUCACUUCGGGCAAUUGGUGCAUCAUUGCUUUGCGAAUUCGGAAUUCAUAUGCUUGUACUUGGAUCAACGGUUAAUUAAUCUUGCCAUUAUUUUCA